rnacentral:lncRNA from 1 species
GUUUCAGCCAAAGUAGGAAAGACUCUUAAAACUGAGAAGGAAAUGAAAUGACAUAUUGUACCUUCUUGUAGGAAGCAGAGACACCCAACAGUCAUCUCUUCACAGCAUGGAAUCAUGGGUGAUUUCAAAAGAAGAACUGCAGAAUGCACUGAUAUUUGAAACAAAAAAUAAGUGUGUUUGUACAAAAGUAUGAGAAGGUGAAAACUGAGGGGAACAAAUAUCCUGGAGUUCUUCAUGAUAUCAGUAUCAGGUGCAGCCUUUUCAGUGAGAAGCUGACAACAGCCCCAGCCAUACAACAGCAGCAAUCUCCCCACAGAUCUUCAAUUCAGCGCUCAGCAGAAGACCCUUACCAAGAUGAAGAAGACACAAUUCAAAGUUUGCAUUAUUGUAACAGAACUAUGCCCGUUAGAAGAUCCUACAGCAUCACCAGCAAUAGAUUUGGAAAUUAUUACACUCUGAAGAUUAUGAAGACAAAUAGUGAUCCACUUUUGAGAAGGGAAUUCUCUAACUAUGCUUAAAUUAAAUGUUUUCGUCAUAUCUUCCCAUUGCUUUUUCUUUUCUGAAGUUGGAAUGUUCACAAAUGCAAGAGAAAAAAAAAGAUUGCUAGUAUUGAAUCUUCCUUCUGCUGUUUUGUUUUGUUUUUUUUUCCCAAAAGAUCAUUAGCUAUUUGGCACAAGUGCAGGCAUGUGAAUAUAUUUCACAGUAAUAGCUUUUACAAGUCUGAUGAUACAUUUCAGAAGAGAGAGCUUUUCUAUUAACUGCAAUAGCUCUUGUUAGCAACUUGAGCGAAGUGAGGAUGGUAUUAAAAAUUAUAAUCAAUGACUCAGGAGAGAGCUACAAAUUACUUUGCCACAUUACAGGAAAAUGAAGAUUCCCCCAAACUUCUGUAUAGCAGAUGCAUAAAUAGGCAAUGUUGUAUAAUAUAGAAGGAUAACAACCGACUAUCAAUUUGGCAAAGCGAUCCCACCAAAUAGGAGUAAUCAGAAAUAUAUGACAGGA